ensembl:lncRNA
AUUCUUCCUGCCAGAUUUCUGGGGUCUGUUUGUCUUUGAAUGUAUUUGUGUAGCUUUUUUACGUCGGCUGUGUGGUCUCUCUCCCUUCACUUAGGCACAGAGGGACGUGCUAGACCAGACGACGGCCAAGUUGAAUACAGGUCAAGGUGAAAUUCUCCAUCAGAUGGGAACACUGGAGGGACUUCUGCAUCCCAGAGGUGGCAGGCCUGUGUGACUGCCCCCUGCCACUUCGUGGGGCGGUGGGGUGGGGGGAAGAGGUGAGCUGCCCUCAUUUCACAGGAUGAGAAAACUGAGGCUCAGAAUCGGCCCCUGAGGCUCUGUCCUCGGGGCCCUGUUUAGAGGAGCUCUUGAGAAGGAUUUCUGGCCGACCCUGCUCGGGCUCGCGGGGGAAGGGAAGUGUGGGCUGCGAUUGUCUGUUUUAGAUCAGAUUGAUGGCUGGGCCUUUCUUUUCUGGACACAGGGACGUAGCUUUUUGGAAAUAGUUGUCUCGUGAGACUCUAAGACGCGGGAGGGCUUCCUUGGUGGCACUGCUAGUGCCGGGAGCCUGUCAGCUGGGCACAGGGAGUGGGUUGUAACCACACAGCCGGUUUCCAAGUUGAAACUUGCAGGACUGCAUCGCCUCCCUCCUCGCGCGGUGCUGUGUGUCGUGGGGUGUCUGGGCUGGGCUUCUUCCAGCCUGGGCCCCGGAGGCCCCCCCGCCGUUUGGUGCUGCCGUGUUCCCAGUUCCCACGGGCGUGUUCUCACUUCAUGACAGUGACCCAUCUGUGAUCCCUUGAAUAGGUCUUGGGAGGGGAAAAGGCCGGGUGAAAGGGAGGUCCCGUCGUGGCGCAGUGGUUAACGAAUCCGACUAGGAACCAUGAAGUUGCGGGUUCGAUCCCUGUCUUUGCUCCUUGGGUUAAGGAUCCGGCGUUGCCGUGAGCUGUGGUGUAGGUUGCAGAUGCGGCUCGGAUCCCACGUUACUGUGGUUCUGGUGUGGGCCAGCGGCUACAGCUCCGAUUCGACCCCUAGCCUGGGAACCUCCAUAUGCCGCGGGAGCGGCCCUAGAAAAGGCAAAAAGACAAAAAACAAAAACAAAACACACACGUGGCCAGAUUCCUCCAGAAAGAGUUGUGGGGACUCGCCUUUCUACCCAUGCUGCAACCUAGACCCUUAUUUACCCGACUCUGGCUGAUUGGGGUUCCCUCUGCACCCCUCAGCCUCCAGGGCGUUCAUUCUCCCCACAAGGGAGAGAAAACCUGUCCAUCAGCCUUGAGGCUUUUGUGGCGCCAGCAGUCGAGCUCGGGGGCAGCCAGGCCCACCCCUCACCAGGUGACCUGGGAGCCCUUCGAGGUGAAGCCUGGUACCUGAGAGAGCCAAUUCUGGCCUCAGCAUCCUGCCUGGGUUCCUGGAACCCUGUGGAGGGUUUUCGUUGUUUAGGCCUAGGCAGUUGGCUGCUCAGCCACUGAUGGAUGUGGCCUGAGGACGGUAUCCGGCCUGGCCUGGCGUGUGGCAGGGUUGGGUCUAGGCAGCUCACAGGGGGUGGCUUGUGAAUGUUUUUGUGAACCUCUACUGGUGGCCCCACUCGGAAACCCAUUUUGGCUGCAGCUUAGUUGUUUUUUGUUAAGUGGGGCAGUGACUGAUGUUUGGGCAUGGUACAUAGGGCUUUGAAGAUGGUAGAGGAGCCUGAGUGAGGAAAUACCAUUAGAACUUAGAUCAUGGAGGAGUCCCCCUUGUGGCCCAGCGGGUUCCAAACCUGAGUAGUAUCCAUGAGGAUGUGGGUUCAAUCCGUGGUGUCGCUCAGUGGGUUAAGGAUCUGGUGCUGCUUUGAGCUGCAGUGUAGGUCACAGACGAGACUCGGAUCCCGAGUUGCUGUGGCUGUGGUGUAGGCCA